rnacentral:rRNA from 1 species
GAUGAACGCUGACAGCAUGCUUAACACAUGCAAGUCAACUGUGGCGGACGGGUGCGUAACGCGUAAAGACCUUGCCUCACAGCUAGGGACAACAUUUGGAAACGAAUGCUAAUACCUGCUACUGUGAGAGAGCUUUGCGUCCCAUUAGCUAGUUGGAGAGGUAACGGCUCACCAAGGCGAUGAUGGGUAGCCGGCCUGAGAGGGUGAUCGGCCACAGGGGGACUGAGACACGGCCCUUACUCCUACGGGAGGUAGCAGUGGGGAAGAAUGGACAAUGGACCAAAGUCUGAUCCAGCAAUUCUGUGUGCACGAUGAAGUUUUCGGAAAGUAAAGUGCUUUCAGUUGGGAAGCGGUACCAACAGAAGAAGUGGCGGCUAAAUACGUGCCAGCAGCCGCGGUAAUUC